GUCCCCAUGGAAACCUCCUGGGAUGUUCCCUGCUCUGUUCUUCUUUGCUCAUGGUCCACUGAUAUGGUCAGUCUAUUACUGGAGGAAUGCAUUUGUACCUCAUUCAUCAGAGAAGAUGUGUACACUGUUCAUUCAUAUAGCACCAGCAAUGGUCACUUGGAGCAUCAGGUGGUACAGUACCCCCAGAUCAAGGGUUUGAGUUGUGUGCUAAUCCAACAGAGCCUGGAGUUAAUGGAUGCAACAGCAAUGGUUGGGAUGAACUGAUACUCUAUCCAUUUAUAAUAUAUGGAAUAUGGGUAUUCUGCUAUAUACUAAUAGUGUUCUAUUGGAAGGAAAAGAUUAUAAAAGAAAAGAAUUACAUGACAGCAUUCACAAUAAUGUCACAAGAGAAGAAAGGUGGUCUUAUAUAUUCAAUUACUAACUGUCUGGGACUAAAGUAUCAGAAACAAAUGUACUUUGUUGCUUACACAGUAAUGGGAUGCCUCUUCUUCAUACUAGCAUACUUAUGCUUUAUAUCGUUAGUGUAUAAUUACAUUUUCUUUCUGGGGUUUGUCCUGAUUGCCUGUUACAAUGGAGCUACUUUCUAUAUCAAGGUUGUUGGGAAAGAAUAUUAUAAAAAUGAAGAAAAGAAAAAUGAAUAAAUUAAAAGUUUAUGCCUGCUGAUGUCAUUUUGUUAUUACACCAGUGCAUCAUUUAAUUCCAUUUUAUUGCAAUGUGUUAAAAUUGA
rnacentral:misc_RNA from 1 species